UACGUAGGUCGCAAGCGUUGUCCGGAUUUACUGGGCGUAAAGAGCGCGCAGGCGGCUGGUCAAGUCCGAUGUGAAAUCUCCCGGCUCAACUGGGAAACUGCAUCGGAAACUGAUCGGCUUGAAGAUGGGAGAGGGUAGUGGAAUUCCCGGUGUAGUGGUGAAAUGCGUAGAUAUCGGGAGGAACACCAGUGGCGAAGGCGACUUCCUGGCCUGUUCUUGACGCUGAGGCGCGAAAGCUAGGGUAGCAAACGGG
rnacentral:rRNA from 1 species